rnacentral:rRNA from 1 species
GGCCUUAGGGUCGUAAAGAUGAAAAGAAGGAGAAGAUAAUGACUGUACCCAGUAAAGAAACCCCGGCUAACUCCGUGCCAGCAGCCGCGGUAAUACGGAGGGGGUUAGCGUUGUUCGGAAUUACUGGGCGUAAAGCGCGCGUAGGCGGAUUAGAAAGUUGGGGGUGAAAUCCCGGGGCUCAACCCUGGAACUGCCUUCAAAACUCCUGGUCUUGAGUUCGAGAGAGGUGAGUGGAAUUCCAAGUGUAAAGGUGAAAUUCAUAUAUAUUUGGAGGAACACCAGUGGCGAAGGCGGCUCACUGGCUCGAUACUGACGCUGAGGUGCGAAAGUGUGGGGAGCAAACAGGAUUAAAUACCCUGGUAGUCCACACCGUAAACGAUGAAUGCCAGUCGUCGGGUAGUAUACUGCUCGGUGACACACCUAACGGAUUAAGCAUUCCGCCUGGGGAGUACGGUCGCAAGAUUAAAACUCAAAGGAAAUUGACGGAGAUACCAAUCCAAGGAAAU